rnacentral:tRNA from 1 species
GGGGCAAUAGCUCAGUCGGUUAGAGCAGCGGACUCAUAAUCCGCUGGUCCCUGGUUCAAGUCCAGGUUGCCCCA